rnacentral:rRNA from 1 species
AUACGUAGGGGGCGAGCGUUGUCCGGAAUUACUGGGCGUAAAGGGUGCGUAGGCGGCCAAAUAAGUCAGCUGUGAAAUACCGGGGCUUAACCCCGGGGGUGCAGUUGAAACUGUAUGGCUUGAGUGCAGGAGAGGAAAGCGGAAUUCCUAGUGUAGCGGUGAAAUGCGUAGAGAUUAGGAGGAACACCUGUGGCGAAGGCGGCUUUCUGGACUGUAACUGACGCUGAGGCACGAAAGCGUGGGUAGCGAACAGGAUUAGAUACCCUGGUAGUCCACGCCGUAAACGAUGGAUACUAGGUGUAGGGGGUAUCGACCCCUUCUGUGCCGUAGUUAACGCAAUAAGUAUCCCGCCUGGGGAGUACGUGCACAAGCAUGAA